GGGAAGGUGGCUCAGUGGUAGAGUACUUGCCUUGCAUGCAUGAGGCCCUGGGUUCGAUUCCUCAGUUCCA
rnacentral:tRNA from 1 species